rnacentral:rRNA from 1 species
UACGUAGGGUGCGAGCGUUGUCCGGAAUUAUUGGGCGUAAAGGGCUCGUAGGCGGUCUGUCGCGUCGAAAGUGAAAACCCAGGGCUUAACCCUGGGCCUGCUUCCGAUACGGGCAGACUAGAGGUAUGCAGGGGAGAACGGAAUUCCUGGUGUAGCGGUGAAAUGCGUAGAUAUCUGGAGGAACACCGGUGGCGAAGGCGGCAUCCUGGACCGGCAUUGACGCUGAGGCGCGAAAGCUAGGGGAGCAAACGGG